rnacentral:lncRNA from 1 species
AUUUUUUUAAUAUAAAUAUAAAAGAAAGAAAGGGAAAGAGGAGCCCUAGCACAACCGGACCUAGUUUGCAAUUCACAUUUUCCUCUUCUCAAAUCUCACAUCUGCGGGCUGCUAACCAUAUUUCGUCUUCUCUUCACCAAAUCAAAUCAUUGUCGUCAUCGCUUCAGCCAUUUCCUCUUCUCUACGUUCAUUAUCAACAUCAUCAGUUGCUUUGUUCCUCUUCUCUGCGCUGUCAAGACAUCCAACCCUUCUCAAUCGUUCAACUGCUGCAAAAUUGAGUGGACUAGCUUCCACCUCUAAGCCCACCUCUGCUUCUCUCUUGUCAUCUCUUCAUAAACUUUCUCUCUCUCCAUGGUUCCAGUGGAACUGGGUGGGGGCUCGCUUGUCAACACUUCACAAACUCUCUCUCUCCAUAGUUCUCGUGGAGAUGGUUUGUGGGUGCUUCCUUUGACGUCAUUGCAUGGUGGAUCUGGGUGGGCCUUUGUGUUUGAUGCCAUUCAAAAUUAACUGUAAUUUUCAUGCGUCCACUUAUUAUAUUAAUUUAAUCUUAAUAUUUUUUGGCAGUAAUUGUAGCAUCUCUAUAUCUCUAUAAGCUUCUAUCAUGUGUACUUGACAGAAUAUCAUCAACUAAGAAAAAAAUGUUUCAUCUGGUUUAAUCUGUGAUUGAAAUGUAGUGUCCAACUUCAUAAGGAGAUGG